AGUGAACGCUGGCGGUAGGCCUAACACAUGCAAGUCGAACGGCAGCACAGUAAGAGCUUGCUCUUACGGGUGGCGAGUGGCGGACGGGUGAGGAAUACAUCGGAAUCUACUUUUUCGUGGGGGAUAACGUAGGGAAACUUACGCUAAUACCGCAUACGACCUACGGGUGAAAGCAGGGGAACUUCGGACCUUGCGCGAUUGAAUGAGCCGAUGUCGGAUUAGCUAGUUGGCGGGGUAAAGGCCCACCAAGGCGACGAUCCGUAGCUGGUCUGAGAGGAUGAUCAGCCAAACUGGAACUGAGACACGGUCCAGACUCCUACGGGAGGCAGCAGUGGGGAAUAUUGGACAAUGGGCGCGAGCCUGAUCCAGCCAUACCGCGUGGGUGAAGAAGGCCUUCGGGUUGUAAAGCCCUUUUGUUGGGAAAGAAAAGCAGCAGGUUAAUACCCCGCUGUUCUGACGGUACCCAAAGAAUAAGCACCGGCUAACUUCGU
rnacentral:rRNA from 1 species